rnacentral:rRNA from 1 species
UACGGAGGGUGCGAGCGUUGUCCGGAAUUACUGGGCGUAAAGGGCUCGUAGGCGGCCAACUAAGUCGGAUGUGAAAUCCCCAAGCUUAACUUGGGAACUGCAUCCGAUACUGGAUGGCUUGAAUCCGGGAGAGGGAUGCAGAAUUCCAGGUGUAGCGGUGAAAUGCGUAGAUAUCUGGAGGAAUACCGGUGGCGAAGGCGGCAUCCUGGACCGGCAUUGACGCUGAGGAGCGAAAGCUAGGGGAGCAAACGGG